rnacentral:rRNA from 1 species
UACGUAGGGUGCAAGCGUUGUCCGGAAUUAUUGGGCGUAAAGAGCUCGUAGGCGGUCUGUCGCGUCGGCUGUGAAAACCCGGGGCUCAACCCCGGGCCUGCAGUCGAUACGGGCAGACUAGAGUGCGGUAGGGAAGACUGGAAUUCCUGGUGUAGCGGUGAAAUGCGCAGAUAUCAGGAGGAACACCGGUGGCGAAGGCGGGUCUCUGGGCCGUAACUGACGCUGAGGAGCGAAAGCGUGGGGAGCGAACAGG